rnacentral:misc_RNA from 1 species
AAAAAAAUAAAAAGAGCAUAAUCACAGCAAAUAAAAUGAAGUUGAUUGCGGAAAAUCCGUGCUCGGCCACACGGAAGGAAGCAUCUAUUAAGGAACAGGAAGUUUAGAAUACAAGGCCUUAGGAAAUCGAUCCACAGAAUCGAGUGAAUCGAUGAAGAGAUUGGCAAUUCCCGGCAACGGAGAGAAGCGGAGGGCGGUUUUAAAGGGGAAUGUUGCCGUUGCUGGCAGUUCAUGCGGUGGCCGAGUACUAUAGGCUGCCUUGGAAGCCACCUCUCAGUGUAGGGCUUCUUGCUGCCAACGCUCUCAUCUAUUUAAGGCCUGCUUUCCUCCAUCGUAUCCUCCCUUCUAUUCAUGCGGUCUGGUUCAAUCCCUACCUCAUUUUCAAGGGUCUCAUCUGGGCCACCUUGGGGGAAUACUUGUUGGAAUUCUCUAUUUGAAGUUGAAAGGAUUAUAUUCAGGUCUAGACCCAUUGACUUGAAUAACAAAAAAAUGUUAUAGGCAUAUUAAGCUGACCUUUAAAGUUUAUGAGAGGCUUAUUCAGACUAAGGCAGCGGUGGAUUUCUAGUAGGGGAACUAUGGGUGACAAUCAGGCAAGAAGGACGGUAUCAAGGGUAUGGAGGAGUCAAGUAUGUACAUUUGAUAAUUCUGUUUGGUUAACUGUAUAUGAAACGUAUGGGACAAGUCAAGGCCGCUGUGGAUUUUCAUCCCAGCAGUGUCAUCAACAUGAGUAUGAUGAUCUAACAUUGCUAGAAAUACAUUUACAAAAGAUUUGGUUGAUGAUUUUCUAAUUUCCUUAAUAAUUCUGAAUUUGGUGCAUCUUAUAGCUGAAGCAUGCCGCUCAUUUUCUCAUGUUAAUUUCAUAGUUGGGUCAAUAACCAUAUGGCAUGCCACAUUUAGGCAUGGCUUACUUUGAACUCUAGUAUGCUAUAUUUAGGAAUGUCAUAUUUCACAAUUUUUUUUUUAU